UACGGAGGAUGCAAGCGUUAUCCGGAAUCAUUGGGCGUAAAGCGUCCGCAGGUGGCUGUGUAAGUCUGCUGUCAAAGAGCGAAGCUCAACUUCGUAAAGGCAGUGGAAACUACACGGCUAGAGUGCGUUCGGGGCAGAGGGAAUUCCUGGUGUAGCGGUGAAAUGCGUAGAGAUCAGGAAGAACACCGGUGGCGAAGGCGCUCUGCUAGGCCGCAACUGACACUGAGGGACGAAAGCUAGGGGAGCGAAUGGG
rnacentral:rRNA from 1 species